GAUGAACGCUAGCGGCAGGCCUAACACAUGCAAGUCGAGGGGCAGCACGGGUAGCAAUACCUGGUGGCGACCGGCGCAAGGGUGCGUAACGCGUGAGCAACAUGCCCUAUACAGGGGGAUAAUCCAGGGAAACUUGGUCUAAUAUCCCAUAGUAUUUAGAGGAGGCAUCUUCUAUAAAUUAAAGCUUCGGUGGUAUAGGAUUGGCUCGCGUGACAUUAGCUAGAUGGUGAGGUAACGGCUCACCAUGGCAAUGAUGUCUAGGGGUUCUGAGAGGAAGGCCCCCCACACUGGGACUGAGACACGGCCCAGACUCCUACGGGAGGCAGCAGUGAGGAAUAUUGGACAAUGGAUGGAAAUCUGAUCCAGCCAUGCCGCGUGCAGGAAGACAGCCCUAUGGGUUGUAAACUGCUUUUAUAUGGGAGCAAUAAGGUCUACGUGUAGACUGAUGAGAGUACCAUAUGAAUAAGC
rnacentral:rRNA from 1 species